UACGUAGGUGGCAAGCGUUGUCCGGAUUUACUGGGCGUAAAGAGCGCGCAGGCGGUCGUUCAAGUCGCGUGUGAAAGCCCCCCGGCUCAACUGGGGAGGGUCACGCGAUACUGAUCGACUCGAAGGCAGGAGAGGGUAGUGGAAUUCCCGGUGUAGUGGUGAAAUGCGUAGAUAUCGGGAGGAACACCAGUGGCGAAGGCGGCGAUCUGGGUCGAUACUGACGCUGGAGGUGCGA
rnacentral:rRNA from 1 species